ACCUAUAAUGAAUGUAUAAGAGCUUUCAGCUGUGACUUCUCCUUCUAGGUUGCAUCUCUUUAUCAUUUAGAAUGGAGAUCUGCUGCUCUUUAAAAAUCAUCCGUCAAAUUCCAGAUCUAUACGAGGGUGUGGGGGCAGGGGGGAGGUAGCAGGAAGAAGAGGAGACUUGUACAUACUCAAGGUCAGAGUGGGGAUUUACCCAAGACUAGCUGUGGGAGGAUUUCAAAGAGACAAAGGAAAACGAGGCGGAUGUCACAACAAGGUGCUGGCAGGGUUUUUCUUCUGUUUCCCCUCACUUGGGACCAAAACCAUCCAGAUUCAGGCCUGUUUGAGUAGGAGAAGGAAACUCUUCCCAAGCCAGGCCGAUUCUGGAAGAAUGGGCAGCAGAACCAGGGAGCAAGGGGCAAGUGAGUCCAGUUUUCACAACCAGCUAUGCUUUCAACAGCAGGUUCCAACAAAGGCACCGUAAAUGCCUAUAUUGAGGAGAAAACUGCAAACCAAACCAGGUCACAGCUUUCAAAGGAUGAUCAGAUGAAACUCCCCCACAGGCUAAAGGACCAGGUACACACCAAGACUCAUGUGCUGGGAAUGUCAUUACACUAACUGGAAUCCAGAGCAAAGAAUGAAGUACUCAGGCCUCCUACACUAUGCAUGGAAACAGUAAGGACUUCAAAAUUAGGGGGUUGAGCUAUAUGAUAAUACACACUCACGGCACACCUCACCAGCUGGGAAGGGCAACUGACAAAGGUUAGCCCAUAACUAAAGAAAGAGAAGCUCACAAACAAGUAAGAUGUAUGAACAAUCAUCUAAGACAAACAAGAAACUAGAACGUCCUGGGGUGUGAGAGGAAGGGCACCCCCUUGCGUGACUGGAAAAGGUGGCUCCAACCCUGUUCAGUAAAUGUGAAUCAAGCUGAGUCUCCCACAUGCUGCAGGAAUGCUCUUAUCCCUAUGCCUUCCUGGCAUGCUUUUGGCAGAGCUUCUUCAACAGAUUUCAUCAAGUGUUUCCUAUGGUUGAGGUGGGCAUUGAAAUGCCUGAUUUGUGAAACCCAGCCAGGCUUGGAGAUGAGAAAGGCACUGAGCUGCUCUGCACUGCCAGGAUCGAAGAAUGUCUAAGCCCGUGCUGGAGACAGUGACAUCUUUUUGCCUUUAACCACUGCUUUGACAGUAAACAGCUUAGCAUCGUUUGAAUGGCAGUAGUAUUUCAACAGCACAACAAAGCAAAGUUUUAGCUUUAGAAUGUGUUCAGAGCAAGAAAAGCAGAACGGAAUUCAGCUCAGCCCCCUACAAAAUCACUGCUUCAGUACCAACUAUAAUAAAAAGUUGGAUUCCUACUGCAAAUGAAACAUAAAAAACUUAAAGACCACCAGGCUACUAUUUUAUGAAAAUGAAAACACACUUUCUAAGCAUUCCCCUUCAAACACAGACUUUCACUAUUUAACCUUCUCCAACAUAAAAGAAUCAUCAUGAAAAUAAAUUAAUGUGAGGCUGAAGCCAGAAUUGUGGCUUACUAUAUACAUAUUUAUAGGGACACAAAGGGGAUUGAUUCACUGAGUUCACAAUUAGGCAUUGCAAUGCUUUCACACAUUACAGCAUUUGAAGUCUAGAAAAGCCCAUUUUAACUAUGUACACUCUAACCUCCUGUUUAGCAGUGGCUGAUUUUCAUGCAGUAAUUCCAUCCUCACAGGCCAAUGGCUGGGUUUGAACAAGACAUUGUUUUUCAGAAAUACAAUCGGAUUUGACUUUACUAUUUCCCAGUGAUGAAAAAUGCACCAGAAUACUUCAUAAACUGCUAUGAUUAUUAAUUAGCCUCAUGAUUUAACAUAUACAUAUGACAACAUCCUUAAAACUAUCUCUCAUGACUUUUAGCCUUUUGAUUUGAUUUUGUUCCUCAAAAUGUCUGUGUUUUUCCAAAAUGUAUAGACAAUCAAUAUUAUCAAUCCAGAAAGCUCUUUCGCUAACUGUUUUAAAACUCAUUUCAUGAAGGUUAGAUUUUAAGAUGUUUAGCAUUCCUAGUUACUCUUGUAA